rnacentral:rRNA from 1 species
AUCAACUUUCGAUGGUAGGAUAGAGGCCUACCAUGGUGGUAACGGGUAACGGGGUGUUAGGGCACGACACCGGAGAGGGAGCCUGAGAAACGGCUACCACAUCCAAGGAUGGCAGCAGGCGCACAAAUUACCCAAUCCCGACACGGGGAGGUAGUGACAAUAAAUAACAAUACGGGGUCCUUUGGGUCUCGUAAUUGGAAUGAGUACAAUUUAAAUCUCUUAACGAGGAACAAUUGGAGGGCAAGUCUGGUGCCAGCAGCCGCGGUAAUUCUAGCUCCAAUAGCGUAUAUUAAAGUUGUUGCAGUUAAAAAGCUCGUAGUUGAAUUUCGGGAUUAGUAGGUUGGUCGUGCCUCUGGUAUGUACUCGCCUUACUGGUUCCUCCUUCUUGAAGAACUGUAAUGCCAUUAAUUUGGUGUUGCAGGGAAACAGGACUGUUACUUUGAGAAAAUUAGAGCGUUUAAAGCAGGCCAUUGCCUGAAUACAUUAGCAUGGAAUAAUGAAAUAGGACGUUGAUCCUAUUUUGUUGGUUUCUAGGAUUGACGUAAUGAUUAAUAGGGAUAGUUGGGGGCAUUAGUAUUCAAUUGUCAGAGGUGAAAUUCUCGGAUUUAUUGAAGACUAACUACUGCGAAAGCAUUUGCCAAGGAUGUUUUCAUUAAUCAAGAACGAAAGUUAGGGGAUCGAAGACGAUCAGAUACCGUCGUAGUCUUAACCAUAAACUAUGCCGACUAGGGAUCGGAUGAUGUUAAUUUUUUAAUGACUCAUUCGGCGCCUUACGGGAAACCAAAGUGUUUGGGUUC